rnacentral:rRNA from 1 species
UGCGACCUACGGGGCGCAGCAGUGGGGAAUAUUGCACAAUGGGGGAAACCCUGAUGCAGCGACGCCGCGUGAGUGAAGAAGUAUUUCGGUAUGUAAAGCUCUAUCAGCAGGGAAGAAAAUGACGGUACCUGAUUAAGAAGCCCCGGCUAACUACGUGCCAGCAGCCGCGGAAAUACGUAGGGGGCAAGCGUUAUCCGGAUUUACUGGGAGAAAAGGGAGCGUAGACGGCAG